UCGCAUCCGCCAACCGGUUCAGCCGUGUCGCGGAAGGUUUCCUCAACCAGCUGACGCUCCCUCCAGGGGGGCAGAAAGUAGCG
rfam:Ramlibacter sp. Leaf400 contig_4, whole genome shotgun sequence.